rnacentral:rRNA from 1 species
UGAGGAAUAUUGGGCAAUGCCCGCAAGGGUGACCCAGCAACGCCGCGUGGAGGAUGAAUGUCGUAAGAUUGUAAACUCCUGUUAGAGGGGAAGAAUAGUACCGGUUGGACCGGUAUAUGACUGUACCCUCAGAGAAAGCCCCGGCUAACUACGUGCCAGCAGCCGCGGUAAUACGUAGGGGGCAAGCGUUGUCCGGAUUUACUGGGUGUAAAGGGCGCGCAGGCGGGAUAAAAAGUCAGUGGUGAAAUCCUACAGCUUAACUGUAGAACUGCCUUUGAUACUUUGAUGCUUGAGUUCGGGAGAGAGAGACGGAAUUCCAGGUGUAGUGGUGAAAUACGUAGAUAUCUGGAAGAACACCAGUUGCGAAGGCGGUCUCUUGGUCCGACACUGACGCUGAGGCGCGAAAGCGUGGGGAGCGAACA